GUCCUCCUACGGGACGCAGCAGUGGGGAAUAUUGCACAAUGGGGGAAACCCUGAUGCAGCGACGCCGCGUGGGCGAGGAAGUACCUCGGUAUGUAAAGCCCUAUCAGCAGGGAAGAAACAGGACAGUACCUGACUAAGAAGCCCCGGCUAACUACGUGCCAGCAGCCGCGGUAAUACGUAGGGGGCAAGCGUUAUCCGGAUUCACUGGGCGUAAAGGGAGCGCAGGCGGCAGGGCAAGUCAGAUGUGAAAGCCCGGGGCCCAACCCCGGUACUGCAUUUGAAACUGUCCGGCUGGAGUGCAGGAG
rnacentral:rRNA from 1 species